UCUGCCCCUAUCACUCGGUGUGUCGGUAGAUGCCAGAGAGGAGAGAAGCCGUGUCUACACCCAGUGUUCUGACAUAUGAACAUCUGAAUGGUUUGUAGCCUAACGUU
ensembl:snoRNA LOC120097261 small nucleolar RNA SNORA17